UACAGAGGGUGCAAGCGUUGUUCGGAAUCAUUGGGCGUAAAGGGUGUGUAGGUGGCGCCGUAAGUCGGGUGUGAAAUUUCGGAGCUUAACUCCGAAACUGCAUUCGAUACUGCGGUGCUUGAGGACUGGAGAGGAGACUGGAAUUCAUGGUGUAGCAGUGAAAUGCGUAGAGAUCAUGAGGAAGACCAGUGGCGAAGGCGGGUCUCUGGACAGUUCCUGACACUGAGACACGAAGGCCAGGGGAGCAAACGGG
rnacentral:rRNA from 1 species